rnacentral:tRNA from 1 species
GGGCCUGUAGCUCAGCUGGUUAGAGCGUCCGGCUCAUAACCGGAUGGUCCCUGGUUCGAUCCCAGGUAGGCCCA